rnacentral:rRNA from 1 species
GGAUGUGAUCAUACUAGGCAGCACUAAAGCACCGAAUCCCAUUAGAACUCCGCAGUUAAGCGUGUUGGGGCGAGAGUAGUUCUAGAAUGGAUGACCUCCCUAUAAAGCGUCACAUUAU